rnacentral:rRNA from 1 species
UACGGGGGGGGCAAGCGUUGUUCGGAAUUACUGGGCGUAAAGGGUGCGUAGGCGGUGCUCUAAGUCGGAUGUGAAAACUCUGGGCUCAACCCAGAGCCUGCAUCCGAAACUGGAGUGCUAGAGUUCUGGAGGGGGUAGCGGGAAUUCCUGGUGUAGCGGUGAAAUGCGUAGAUAUCAGGAGGAACACCGGUGGCGAAGGCGGCUACCUGGACAGAAACUGACGCUGAGGCACGAAAGCUAGGGGAGCAAACAGG